rnacentral:rRNA from 1 species
AGUGAACGCUGGCGGCGUGCUUAACACAUGCAAGUCGAACGAGAACGGAUUAUAGCUUGCUAUAAUUGUCAGCUAAGUGGCGCACGGGUGAGUAAUGUAUAGGUAAUAUGCCUCUUACUAAGGGAUAACAAAUGGAAACGUUUGCUAAUACCUUAUACUCCUUAUUAACAUAAGUUAAUAAGGGAAAGAUUUAUUGGUAAGAGAUUAGCCUGUAUUGUAUCAGUUAGUUGGUGGGGUAAUGGCUUACCAAGACUAUGACACAUAACUGGUUUGAGAGGAUGAUCAGUCACACUGGAACUGAGACACGGUCCAGACUCCUACGGGAGGCAGCAGUGGGGAAUAUUGCACAAUGGACGAAAGUCUGACGCAGCAACGCCGCGUGGAGGAUGACACAUUUCGGUGCGUAAACUCCUUUUAUAUGAGAAGAUAAUGACGGUAUUAUAUGAAUAAGCACCGGCUAACUCCGUGCCAGCCGCCGCCCGUAA